GACGAACGCUGGCGGCGUGCUUAACACAUGCAAGUCGAACGGAAAGGCCCAACCGUGGUUGGGUACUCGAGUGGCGAACGGGUGAGUAACACGUGGUUCACCUGCCCUUGACUUCAGGAUAAGCAUUGGAAACUGGGUCUAAUACCGGAUCGGAUCCCGUAUUGGAUGGUGUGGUGGGAAGUUUCGCGGUGGGGGAUGGGCGCGCGGCCUCUUAGCUUGUUGGUGGGGGUAUGGUAUACCAAGGCGUCGGCGGGGAGCCGGCCGGGGGGGGUGUCCGGCCACAUUGGACCUGGAGUACGGCCCAGACUCCUCCGGGAGGAAGCAGUGGGGAAUAUUGCACAAUGGGCGGAAGCCUGAUGCAGCAACGCCGGGUGGGGGAUGACGGCCUUGGGGUUGUAAACUCCUUUCGCAGGGGACGAAGCGAAAGGGACGUUACCGGAGAAAGAAGCACCGGCUAACUACGUG
rnacentral:rRNA from 1 species